UACCGGAUACGUCCGCGAGGAGAAAGAUUCAUCGCCGAAGGGAUUGGCCCGCGUCUGAUUAGCUUGUUGGUGAGGUAAUGGCUCACCAAGGCGACGAUCAGUAGCUGGUCUGAGAGGAUGAUCAGCCACAUUGGGACUGAGACACGGCCCAAACUCCUACGGGAGGCAGCAGUGGGGAAUAUUGGACAAUGGGCGAAAGCCUGAUCCAGCCAUGCCGCGUGAGUGAUGAAGGCCUUAGGGUUGUAAAGCUCUUUUGCCCGGGAAGAUAAUGACGGUACCGGGAGAAUAAGCCCCGGCUAACUUCGUGCCAGCAGCCGCGGUAAUACGAAGGGGGCUAGCGUUGUUCGGAUUUACUGGGCGUAAAGCGCACGUAGGCGGAUUCUUAAGUCAGAGGUGAAAUCCCAGGGCUCAACCCUGGAACUGCCUUUGAUACUGGGGAUCUCGAGUUCGAGAGAGGUGAGUGGAACUGCGAGUGUAGAGGUGAAAUUCGUAGAUAUUCGCAAGAACACCAGUGGCGAAGGCGGCUCACUGGCUCGAUACUGACGCUGAGGUGCGAAAGCGUGGGGAGCAAACAGGAUUAGAUACCCUGGUAGUCCACGCCGUAAACGAUGGAUGCUAGCCGUUAGGCAGCUUGCUGCUU
rnacentral:rRNA from 1 species